UUUUUUUUUGUCGAGUGUAAAUAGUAGUCUUUUUUUUUUGUCAAAGGUGCAUGUUUCAUUGAAAGGUGGAUCUAAGUCCAAAGCCCCAAAGGGGAUACAACCGGGCAUAAAGCCCAGGGGAAAUACAACCGGGUAAACAGUCCAAGGGAGAGGAGAUACAUCCUGCCCUUCAAUGUCACUAACGAUAAGGAGAAUACCAACGGGGACCACUAACAGGACUGGUUGGUGGGAAUAAUAAGUAAGACCAAAAAAAGUACAUGCAAGUAUGCAACGGUUGAGAGAGCAACUAACACACAAACCAAAACAGUGGGGAACAAUAAUGGAUUGUAAAGCAGUGCUAGGAGACUGUGUUCACAUGUGCUCCUUCAAUUUCCAAUCUACAAUGGAUGCUUGAGCUUCUCACAAAUCCUUAGUCUAAACCCACUCUCUCCCAACCGUGUGCAAGGACAUCAGCGAAUUCCAUUUUGGAACCUUGGGGGAAUACACCGUGAAUCCCUGUCUAGAGCAAUUCUAAGAUCAUAAGGAGGAUCCAUGACCCAAUUCUGUUUCAAUUUGUUCUGCUUGGCAAGCUGAGCAACCAUGUGAGCCACUCCAUUUCUCUCCCUGGGGAUCCAAGUAAAACCACAGUGUAAGAAAUCUCUCUUUAAUACCUUGAUAUCUUCUAAAAUUGCUCUAGUUUCUCCAAUCUUCUUGAUGCCUCUACAUGUUUCUAUGAGGGAAAGGCAAUCAGCUUCUACCAAGAUGCGGUCAAUUCCCAGACUCUUGGCUAAAAUUAGUCCUUCUCGCAGAGCUUGGGCCUCAGCUACAGCAGGGGAGGGAGCAAGUGAUCUGGAGUCCAAGCCUGAAACCAAUCUGCAAUUUGAGUCCCUGAUGACAGCACCCAAGGUGCAUGCAGGAGAAGGAGCCUUCCAACUAGCAUCAAUGUUUAAUUUGUAGACUCCAGGGGGUGGUGGACGCCAGAUCGGAUUUCUAUUCAAGGUAACUCAAUGGUAGCACCAUCAAGGUUCCCUUCAAAGGAGCUAGAUGCUCCCGGUUCCAUUUGGUUCACGUGACCUGCACUCUUGUGUUUGUAGAUCCCAAGCUGACCACUCGUCCUUGUGGAGUAGAUUCCCUGGUUGGAAAGUAAAGGCCCAGCAGAUCUGGGAGAAAACUCUUCUUAGUUGUUCUUGGUUCUUGGGUAAACCCUAGCAGAGCCAAAAAACUAAAAGAGAGAGAUUAUGUAAUAAUAAAUAGUAGUCUUAAGUUUGUAAAAAAUCAACCCAUUUUCUCUUUAGGCAUAUAUAAUGAACAUUUUUUUUUCUUCCUACAGGCCCGUAAUCCAGUGAGCUCUGUGUGUUCUUAACUUCUGAUACGUGGUCUUGUUGCCAUCUCAUCUAAACUGUGUCAUCAUACUUUUCGGCCCAAUAACAAUGGUAUGAGCCCACAAUUAGCAAUAUUUGUAAUGAAACAUAAAUUACUGCGUCAUUAUUCACCAAAUUUUUUUU